rnacentral:lncRNA from 1 species
CGACAGGUUGCUCGACCGUUUUCAUCUUGUGUAAAGGUGGUGGAAUUAUGAGGGAAUUAAGUCUUGGUCAGAAUACGACGCAUCUGUAAACACACCUCCAUUUCUUCGAUCUUCACCCUGAACGAAUAGCGGAUAAAUAGCAUGCUGUUCACAUUCUUUAGAUCAAGGUCAGAAUUACCAUAGAGAGAAGAGUGGAUAAAAAGGGAAUUGUGUUGCAUUUACGCACUUAACUCUGGUCGGAAUUCCCCCCCAUGUAGGCAGUAGGUAGCCAUGUAGAGAGUAGGUAGACAUGUAGAGAGUAGUUAGCCAUGUAGGCAGUAGUUAGCCAUGCAGAGAGUAGUUAGCCAUGUAGAUAGUAGUUAGCCAUGUAGGCAGUAGGUAGCCAUGUAGAGAGUAGUUAGCC